GGGGUCUGAGAAACAAGAUGUAAGAGGAGAUGCAAUAAAUUAGGAAACCCCUAACAAUAGCAUUAUCAAAUCAAACCAAUUUAAUUAAUAGUACGUUUUAGUCUGAUCAACUGACUCUAGAAGGACUGGGAGAAAAAUCUGCUGUAAUAUGAUUUAAGGAACUAUUUAGUACACAACUACAUGGGUGUAUGUUUAGGUAUGCCGUGUACAUUCUAGUGAAGGAAAGGAGAAGUUAGUAUAAGCUUUUCAUAGUGUUAAAAUACACUGUUUCCAGAAGAGGAUUUCAACCAGACAGCACGUAGAGCUAAUGCUCUCAGGACCUAUGGCCUUAACCAGACUGAAAAAAAGAAAAAAGGACUAAAGCAAAACUACGUGAAAGUAAGAACGAAACUUAACUGACUGCACCGUUUGUAGGAGAGACGCUAGGACAGAGCUGCUCACAGGGUUGAUGGUGUUGUAGACUAUCCCAGAUCUCUUCUCUUGUCCGUGGUGAGGCAAAGCUGGGAAGAUGCUGUGUUUCCCAGGCUGGAUGGCAAUCUUCAGGGUGAAGAUUAAAGGCAGGUGGAUUUGCUGGAAGUUUUGACAAGUACUUCUCUAGUGAUGCUACUGGACACAAGUGAUUUCCGGGCACUUCAAACAUGAAUCUGCAGUGACAUUCUUUGUUCUGUGUAGGGAUUUUUGUGAUUUUUUUGUACUUUCAUUAAAGGUCAUGGUGGCAUUCUUAACUCUGUUUUCAUCUGUUUUUAUAAUAAAAGAAUCUGUUUCCUUCUUUUCCACUGCGUCCAAAAUGUAACUGGAUGUCACACCAAACUUUACUCACAAGACCAACAGCUGUGUCAGGGUUCAGGGCUUUAGAAUGUUUGAUUAUUUGAAAAUAUAUUUCAGUUAUUGCAUGAUGAUGUUGUGUUUUAUCCCGGCCUUCUCGUCUAAGUUUUUUAAUUGUACCCACAAACACGUUGUUUGAACUUGUGAAUUGUGUCGCUCAUUAGACACCAGGAUAAACUUAACGGGGGGUCAUUUAAAUGCCUGUUCAGUCCAGCACCGAGCCCAACAUAGCUGCUGAUUCCGUAUUGCUCACCUUUACAGUUUCGGACUGUGCAAUAAAAAUCUCUAAGGAUAUUAUUUAGUUCUUCUUUUGUUAGUUGUGUGAAUUCAAUAUGUAUUUUUUUUUCAGACAGCCAGUCAUUAAAGCAUUUA